CGUUCCCUACGGGACGCAGCAGUAGGGAAUCUUCCACAAUGGGCGAAAGCCUGAUGGAGCAACGCCGCGUGGGUGAAGAAGGUCUUCGGAUCGUAAAACCCUGUUGUUAGAGAAGAAAGUGCGUGAGAGUAACUGUUCACGUUUCGACGGUAUCUAACCAGAAAGCCACAGCUAACUACGUGCCAGCAGCCGCGGUAAUACGUAGGUGGCAAGCGUUAUCCGGAUUUAUUGGGCGUAAAGGGAACGCAGGCGGUCUUUUAAGUCUGAUGUGAAAGCCUUCGGCUUAACCGGAGUGGUGCAUUGUG
rnacentral:rRNA from 1 species